UAGCAGUGGGACAUAGUGUGGAGUCUGUUGGCAUCUGCUUAUCUGCCUCAUUAGACUGUCUUUUACGGGGACUGGGAGGGAGGCACACACUACUGUUAGCAGGGAGCUCACAGAGGGGAGUACACUACAAACACACUGCCAUGCCUGGAGGAGUGUGAUGGCUUCAGAUUUUCUGAGAAAGAGAGAGAGAAGUUGGAGAGAGGGAUAGAGAGUGAGAAAGAGAGAGAGAGAGGGAGAAAAAAAAGGUAUUGUCUAUAUCACAAAACAUUGAGUGAGAUCAGCGGACUUGUCAAGAGGCCUUGGCUUGAAUAUGAAUGAUGAGAGAAGAGCAGGGUGGUCUGGGUGGCUUGGGUGGAGGCGGGCGAGAGAAUAAGCCCAACUGUCCCUGCCAGCCUCACAGCAGGCAAAUCAAACACAGUUGAGACAACUCCGCUCGAGCUCUCUGAUGACAAAAUGAGAGAGGAAUGCAGCCGAAUUUCACACAGGCGGAGGGAAUGCUGGCGUACACAGCUAUCCGUAUCAUCCUCUGUGGUGAUAAUGGCAAGUGAGCGUUCGAUAUUUUAGAAAAAGAAAAAGUUUACAACAUGGCUGCUGUCAGAAACAGUCAAGUGUUACUCCAUAGCGACAAGUAGCCAGCAAAAUGUUGUUGUUGUUUUUUUCUCUGUCAAGCAAAACAGUUGGGUCAGCUACAAGUGAGCCGUGACAUUUUUCGGCUAACUCUAAAUGAAGACGUUAAGACAUAAAAUACCCACACCCCCCACUCGCACAAACCCCCCUGCCUUCCCCAAUCCCCACAGACUUGUUCAAUUCACUAGAGUGUCUGCACUGUUCCCUCAUUCAACUGGAUACAAUGAUCCGCGAGAUGAAUAAAGUUAUCUCUGGGCUGAAUGGGAUGUUGCUGAAGGGAGGAGACAGGGAGGACCCAGCGGGGGCCUCAAAGAAGCCCCCGUUAGAGGGGGAGAUCUGAGGGGUCGGGACCCAGCUGCCUGGCCGGGUGAGAGGGAUACCAGCAGGCUGGACAGGCCGAAGGAAACAACAAAACAAAUACCCUUCCAAUAAAGACAUCCCAUUCCAAACUUAGCACGGUCCCACUGCAAAAGUUGCUGAUCACUCACUUUUCACACACUGAAACGUUGCUCUUUAGGCAGAGUGCUUUACAUUUUAGUCGCAGUUAGCGAAAAAAAAUAAAAAUAAAUCACAGUCAGCUACUUUGUCCCUCCACUUUUUGAAAAGGGGAUGUACUGAAGCCAGACUAGUCCUAGUUAAUUUUUAUGAAAACAACAGUGCUACAAAGUUCCAGUUUGGAAGCAUCUUGCUGUUGAUUGGAAGCCAUGUUUCGCACUUGUUUUGUACUUCUGCAAACAGAAGAGCAGGAGCAAGAUAGUGAGGAGAGACUUUGGAGUACAAUACCGAAAAUGAAACAUGAAAUGAAUGGGAUCCACCUUCCUGGCCCUUUCUCUCACUCUGUAAUUUGUGGCAUUUAAUGGAGGAAAUCAUUGUCAUUUUGUACAAUCAUAUAAAAUGGAAAGUGGAAAAAAAAUAUAACCAGGAUCUGUUUUUAAUCAUGAAAUAAAAUGAAAAAUAUUCAAAUAAUUACACCAUAUUGUCUUUUCUUUUAUUCCCUUACAACUUUCUUGUUAAUCCACAGAAAUGGAAACCUAAACUGUACAGUGAUUUAUAUCUUAAAUAUAUCAAUAAAAUGCAUUUUAUUGCAGAA